rnacentral:tRNA from 1 species
GUAGGUGAACCUGCGGAAGGAUCAUUAACACGUAUCCACGUAUCAACCCACAGUGUCACUGUUGAGCGCGACUGUCGGUUUCAACAAUCCGCCUGCUCACUCUCGUUCUUUCUCGCCCUUUUUGCCUCCUUAGCUCAGUGGCAGAGCGCCCGUUUCGUAAACGGAUGGUCGCUGGUUCAAUCCCAUCAGGAGGCAGAUUUUUGCCGCCCGCCGGGGGAUUGGUGCAGUGGCAGCACGUUUCGUUUGCAAC